rnacentral:rRNA from 1 species
UUAAAUUGAAGAGUUUGAUCAUGGCUCAGAUUGAACGCUGGCGGCAGGCCUAACACAUGCAAGUCGAACGGUAACAGGAAGCAGCUUGCUGCUUCGCUGACGAGUGGCGGACGGGUGAGUAAUGUCUGGGAAACUGCCUGAUGGAGGGGGAUAACUACUGGAAACGGUGGCUAAUACCGCAUAACGUCGCAAGACCAAAGAGGGGGACCUUCGGGCCUCUUGCCAUCAGAUGUGCCCAGAUGGGAUUAGCUAGUUGGUGAGGUAACGGCUCACCAAGGCGACGAUCCCUAGCUGGUCUGAGAGGAUGACCAGCCACACUGGAACUGAGACACGGUCCAGACUCCUACGGGAGGCAGCAGUGGGGAAUAUUGCACAAUGGGCGCAAGCCUGAUGCAGCCAUGCCGCGUGUAUGAAGAAGGCCUUCGGGUUGUAAAGUACUUUCAGCGGGGAGGAAGGUGUUGUGGUUAAUAACCACAGCAAUUGACGUUACCCGCAGAAGAAGCACCGGCUAACUCCGUGCCAGCAGCCGCGGUAAUACGGAGGGUGCAAGCGUUAAUCGGAAUUACUGGGCGUAAAGCGCACGCAGGCGGUCUGUCAAGUCGGAUGUGAAAUCCCCGGGCUCAACCUGGGAACUGCAUUCGAAACUGGCAGGCUUGAGUCUUGUAGAGGGGGUAGAAUUCCAGGUGUAGCGGUGAAAUGCGUAGAGAUCUGGAGGAAUACCGGUGGCGAAGGCGGCCCCCUGGACAAAGACUGACGCUCAGGUGCGAAAGCGUGGGGAGCAAACAGGAUUAGAUACCCUGGUAGUCCACGCCGUAAACGAUGUCUACUUGGAGGUUGUGCCCUUGAGGCGUGGCUUCCGGAGCUAACGCGUUAAGUAGACCGCCUGGGGAGUACGGCCGCAAGGUUAAAACUCAAAUGAAUUGACGGGGGCCCGCACAAGCGGUGGAGCAUGUGGUUUAAUUCGAUGCAACGCGAAGAACCUUACCUGGUCUUGACAUCCACAGAACUUUCCAGAGAUGGAUUGGUGCCUUCGGGAACUGUGAGACAGGUGCUGCAUGGCUGUCGUCAGCUCGUGUUGUGAAAUGUUGGGUUAAGUCCCGCAACGAGCGCAACCCUUAUCCUUUGUUGCCAGCGGUUAGGCCGGGAACUCAAAGGAGACUGCCAGUGAUAAACUGGAGGAAGGUGGGGAUGACGUCAAGUCAUCAUGGCCCUUACGACCAGGGCUACACACGUGCUACAAUGGCGCAUACAAAGAGAAGCGACCUCGCGAGAGCAAGCGGACCUCAUAAAGUGCGUCGUAGUCCGGAUUGGAGUCUGCAACUCGACUCCAUGAAGUCGGAAUCGCUAGUAAUCGUGGAUCAGAAUGCCACGGUGAAUACGUUCCGGGCCUUGUACACACCGCCCGUCACACCAUGGGAGUGGGUUGCAAAAGAAGUAGGUAGCUUAACCUUCGGGAGGGCGCUUACCACUUUGUGAUUCAUGACUGGGGUGAAGUCGUAACAAGGUAACCGUAGGGGAACCUGCGGUUGGAUCACCUCCUUACCUUAAAGAA